rnacentral:rRNA from 1 species
AUUAUGACUCCAUCUGAACACUUUGAUAAAAGUUGUGCAUCUUCAGCAGAUUUGAUUCCAAAUCCGGCAAGUGUAGGAACGCUAGCAUGUUUCUUUAUUUCUUCAAUGUUGCUGCUAAUUUCAUUUACGUCUAAAUUCGAAGCUCCAGUGACUCCUCUCAAGGUGACAUAAUAUACGAAUCCUGAACUAUUUUUUGCAAUUGAUUCAAUUCUGUCCUUUUUCGUAGUUGGAGAAAUUAGUGAAAUAGUAUUUAUAUUAGGGUUAUAGACUCCAUAAUCUUUGAGUUUUAGUUCGCCCGGUAUAUCAACGACUAAAACUGAAUCAAUAACGUCAUUUUUAUUAUCUUCAAUUAAAGCCUUAUUAAAAAUAAAUGUAUUGAGAUACCCCAUAAGAACAAGAGGUGUGUCAUCAGGCACCUUAUGGGAAACCAAAGUUUUUGGGUUCCGGGGGAAGUAUGGUUGAAAAGCUGAAACUUAAAGGAAUUGACGGAAGGGCACCACCAGGAGUGGAGCCUGCGGCUUAAUUUGACUCAACACGGGGAAACUCACCAGGUCCAGACACAAUAAGGAUUGACAGAUUGAGAGCUCUUUCUUGAUUUUGUGGGUGGUGGUGCAUGGCCGUUCUUAGUUGGUGGAGUGAUUUGUCUGCUUAAUUGCGAUAACGAACGAGACCUUAACCUGCUAAAUAGCCAGGCCCGCUUUGGCGGGUCGCCGGCUUCUUAGAGGGACUAUCGGCUCAAGCCGAUGGAAGUUUGAGGCAAUAACAGGUCUGUGAUGCCCUUAGAUGUUCUGGGCCGCACGCGCGCUACACUGACAGAGCCAACGAGUUUUUUUCCUUGGCCGGAAGGUCUGGGUAAUCUUGUUAAACUCUGUCGUGCUGGGGAUAGAGCAUUGCAAUUAUUGCUCUUCAACGAGGAAUGCCUAGUAAGCGCAUGUCAUCAGCAUGCGUUGAUUACGUCCCUGCCCUUUGUACACACCGCCCGUCGCUACUACCGAUUGAAUGGUUUAGUGAGCUCCUCGGAUUGGUCCCGACACGGGGGGCCGUUUGGAAUUGGUCUUUUUAUAAUAAAUGGUAUUGCUUUUUGCUUUAAUU